AGCUGCUGCGCCGAAGUAACUUGUGUUAUUGUAAUUGGUGUUGUAUGUAUAUGUCUGUGUGCUUCGUUUGUACCAAUUUAUCGAUUUAUGCGUUUUUGUAACGCAGUAGUACAUUUAAAACUGACCUAUUUCCUUGACUUCAUCUACCUGGUACUGAUUUUUGUAAUGUUCACAAAAAACGUUUGACAAAACGAAUACAAUGGAAAACCAGUCUAUCGAAAACAAAUCGGCCAUCAUGAGCCCACCUAAACAAGUAUUGCCUACUUUUGUGCCACAACAGCCUCCGCCACACAGCAACCAAAUACACUUGCAAACAGAUUUCACGUCUCCCCCACCAACACAUCCCCAUGGAUUCUGGCCUCAACAAGCCUUUCCUAAUACAUGGCAAACACAGUUUCGUAUGGCAAACCCUGCUCCACAAGCUAAGACUACCGUGACAAAUACUACGACUUGUAAUAAUCUAACCACAUUCAGUUCGUCUAGUAAUAGUACUAUAAGAUCACCUUUGACACGCUGGAGGUCGUUCAACAGCAGUUCACGCCAGCGUACACCUUAUCAAUAUGGGAACACUCCAAGAAACAACUAUCCUAGACAGUUCUCGCAAAAUGCUAAUGGCAAUUUCUUUGGUAAUUCUUCUCAAAAUCCACAAACACCAUCAACAUCAUCUACUCAAAACUGGCCACAGUUUAAUCAAAGACCACGUUUUAUACCAAGACAACACAUGCGAAUGAAUAGACCUCGUAGUUCUGUUCAAAUUCAAUCCAAUGGAACUAAUCAGGACACAAAUGCUGUGACAGAAUGUAAAACACGAAAACGCAAGUUAAAAUCACAACAAUCUGGUGAACCUCAGCGUGCUCAAAAACCAUGGAACCGUGAAGAUGCAGUAAAAGCUAUUGCAGCUGAAAUGGAACUUCGAACACCUAAAAAUAAUCAACAAAUUAUGAUCCGAUUUCCAGAUCAUGAAAUUACACGACAAAUUGUUCAAAAUUUUCAUACAGAUAUUAAAUCUGUUCAUUUCCACACACCAUGUAAUCCGAGGUAUUGUUAUGUACAAGUACAACCUACUGCAAAUAUUGAAGAUGUUGCAAAGGAACUGAAUAAGACAGUUUUUCAACAUGAGAAUUUGCGUGUUGAAAUUAAAGAAAGUCAGUUUGAAGAAAAAGCAUUUCCAGAGUGCAUUGAUCCAUACACAUUAUAUCUUGGAAAUUUACCAACAAAUAUUACAUCUAAUGCUGUUAAAGAUGAAUUUCCAAAAGCCACUAGAGUUGAUAUUGGAUUUGCUAAAAAAAUGAAGUACACUAGAUAUGCAUUUAUUAAAUUUUCUAAUGCUGAGGAUGCAAUACAAGCAUAUAAAGAAAAAUAUAAUUUAGUAAUUGAUAGCCGAUCAGUCGUGCUAAGAUUUAGGCGUGGUAAAGGAAAUGUAAAUCCACCAGGACAAGUUGACAAAUUACCAAAUGAAAUGAAUGAAUUUGAUGUACAGAGUUUAAGGAAAAAAAUCAAAAGGGAACCAAUAGAAGAAAAUGCUGAGGAAUAUGAUGCUCCUCCAAUUAAUGUAUCAAGAGUAGUUAAACCUGAAAUGAUGGAAGAAGAUGAAUAUGAUCAAGAUUCAGUUUAUGAAUCUCAUGUAUCCGAAUCAUAUGAAAAUGAUAUUAAUAUUAAAUCAGAAUGUCCAGAUUUUGAAGAAGAUUAUGAAGAACAAUAUUAUGACGAAGAAGAGUCACGUAAAUUAUAUACUUUUAGAAGAAAUGAAACUAUGUCCAUGGAUGUAGUUCUUGCUGAUAAUAAUAGAGCUCAGUGUGUUCAAAAUAAUCAUAGCCAUGAUAUUGCCAUACCUCACGGGGGUGUUGAAGAUGAAGAAAGACAAUGGAAUGAGAAGCCAGAAGAAGAAGAAGAAUUGUUGCCACAUGCUUUACCAUAUAGUUUUCUUCCAAAAAAAGUAGUAUCAGAAAAUAACAGUGAUAUUACUUUACCUACAACUAAUGAAAUUCGUGAUGACGAUAGUGACAGAGAAAACGAAAGAUGGAACAACUCUUCAAAUGAUGAAGAUGAUGAUGGAGGUGGUACUGAAUAUAGUUGGCAAAGAAUAAACGAGAAAAACAAAUCUACAAAUCAAACUAAAGAUAAUGAAAAACGAGAAUAUAACUUUAAAAAAUCAGAUGAAAUUAAUGCUGUUAAAUGAUUCAAAUCCAAAUUCGAAAAAUAAACACGAGUCUUGUUCACUCAAAGUGGCCAAAAGGGUAUUUAGGUUUGUAUCGGCCCAGUAAAGGGGCAUGUCAAGACGAAAAACUGAUGCACGUGUACUGAAGCGACAGAAGAGCCGUCAAUCACGAACAACAGGACAAAACGCAAAUAAAAUGGACCCGCAACUCAUUUCUUCUAUCUUUCAAUCUAAUCUAUUGGAAAUCGAUUUUUACCAAGGAUCCCUUCUGACAUUCCUUUACAUCGCGUACCUUUUAAGUAUAUGUUAAUCUUAUAUAUUUGUAUAGUUCUAUGCUUCUGUAUCAUCGUCGUUAUAACUGACUGCAUGAACAUUGUUAUGUUAGUAAACUUUUUUAUUUCGACUUAAGGUGCUUCAAAAUGCUGACAAACAUUUUCAGUUGUCUAUGUGGUGAACCCUGUUAGGAUACUUUUUCCGGUCCAUACUUUUCUAUCACCACAAGAAAACCUCAAAUAUCGCAAAUUUCCCUUGUAUAAGUGCGUACACGUAAAUUUAAAAAUUUAAAUUAUUAUCAGGCUUCCUCAUACGAGUCUACGAGUAUAUAUUAUUUAGUGUGUUAUA
rnacentral:misc_RNA from 1 species